rnacentral:rRNA from 1 species
CAGCAGCCGCGGUAAUACCGGCGGCCCGAGUGGCGGUCACUAUUAUUGGGCUUAAAGCGUCCGUAGCCGGGUUGGGAAGUCCUCCGGGAAAUCUGGCCGCUUAACGGUCAGAAUGCCGGAGGAUACUCCCAGCCUAGGGAGCGGGAGAGGCCGAGGGUAUUCCCGGAGUAGGGGGGAAAUCCUAUAAUCCCGGGAGGGCCACCGGUGGCGAAGGCGCUCGGCUGGAACGCGUCCGACGGUGAGGGACGAAGGCCAGGGGAGCAAACCGGAUUAGAUACCCGGGUAGUCCUGGCUGUAAACGAUGCGGACUUUGUGUCGGACAAGCUAUGAGCUUGUCCGGUGCCGGAGGGAAACCGUUAAGUCCGCCGCCUGGGGAGUACGGCCGCAAGGCUGAAACUUAAAGGAAUUGGCGGG